AAUCAACGCUGGCGGCGUGCCUAACACAUGCAAGUCGCACGAGAAAGGGACUUCGGUCCUGAGUACAGUGGCGCACGGGUGAGUAACACGUAAGUAAUCUACCUUCGAGUGGGGAAUAACCCGGGGAAACCCGAGCUAAUACCGCAUAAUGCAGCGGCACCUAAUGGUGACAGUUGUUAAAGGAGUAAUUCGCUUGAAGAGGAGCUUGCGGCAGAUUAGCUAGUUGGAAGGUAAUGGCUUACCAAGGCUACGAUCUGUAACCGGUCUAAGAGGACGGUCGGUCACACUGACACUGAAUAACGGGUCAGACUCCUACGGGAGGCAGCAGUCGGGAAUUUUGGGCAAUGGGCGAAAGCCUGACCCAGCAACGCCGCGUGAAGGAUGAAGUAUUUCGGUAUGUAAACUUCGAAAGAAUGGGAAGAAUAAAUGACGUACCAUUUAUAAGGUCCGGCUAACUACGUGCCAGCAGCCGCCGU
rnacentral:rRNA from 1 species